GCAAGGCAAGGUAGAGAUCCAGGUGAGAGAAGAAAGGUGAUGAGACUGAAUUUGGAGUUAAAAUUGUCUACACCUGAAUUGUAGUUGGAUUGUAGACUGGCUUUCUCAGGAAGCUGGCUCUGCAAUAGCAAGGAAUGUUCAGGAACAUAAUUAGGGAAUGCUCUGGAGAUUAAACAAUACCUGUGGGGUAAGAGAAAAAAGGCAAUGGAGCGCAGCACAAAAUUAGGCUGCGGUGCAACAUCAAGAAAUGAGUUAGAAUAACAGAGUUGCACAUUUAGAGUUGUCCUGGGCUGGAGUGAGAGAGUCUGGCCUUUGUAUGUCUGCAGGCUGAGUCCAGGAAGGGGGUGAACGUGGAAGAUCUCUUUGGCUAGGAGCAGUCCCUGAACAGCAUGGCUAGCAGAUGACCCUGGUUAAUGGAGUCAGCAGGAUCCUGACUGGCCUUUCUAAAUGCUAGAUUCAUCAUCAGGAAUAAUCAGGUUUUCUUCAUAGUCAAUUAUGGGACAGAAGGGAAUACCAUUUCCUAAAGAUACCAUUUAAUUCUCUACAAAA